CUUGCCUCCUAUACAAGCCUGAAUGGCAUCUUCUAGUAGUAAGAAAGCUAGUCCUUAGGGAGGAAGAAUUCAGGCUCCUCCAUGCUUGACACAAUCUACCAACUCCAUUCUCUACUUUCACUGUUGAUGUAUGCUGAAGGAGAGAGAGUCACUCUCUUUGGAGAGUUGUUGCUACAGGGAGAAGCUGAACACUCGGGUGUCAACUGCCAACUGCCUUUCUUCCACCGACGAAGUUUAAUGUG